rnacentral:rRNA from 1 species
GACGAACGCUGGCGGCGUGCUUAACACAUGCAAGUCGAACGGAAAGGCCCUGCUUUUGUGGGGUGCUCGAGUGGCGAACGGGUGAGUAACACGUGAGUAACCUGCACUUGACUUUGGGAUAACUUCAGGAAACUGGGGCUAAUACCGGAUAGGAGCUCCUGCUGCAUGGUGGGGGUUGGAAAGUUUCGGCGGUUGGGGAUGGUCUCGCGGCUUAUCAGCUUGUUGGUGGGGUAGUGGCUUACCAAGGCUUUGACGGGUAGCCGGCCUUAGAGGGUGACCGGCCCCAUGGGGACUGCGGUACGGCCCAGAUUCCAACGGGAGGCAGCGGUGGGGAAUAUUGCACAAUGGGCGGAAGCCUGAUGCAGCAACGCCGCGUGCGGGAUGACGGCCUUCUGGUUGUAAACCGCUUUCGCCUGUGACGAAGCGUGAGUGACGGUAAUGGGUAAAGAAGCACCGGCUAACUACGUG